AUUUAAGUAGUUUAAUUAAAAUAUCGAUUUGUGGUAUCGAUGAUAUAAAUUUAAAUUUGUCUUAGAUU
rnacentral:tRNA from 1 species